GGGGGUAUAGCUCAGUGGUAGAGCAUUUGACUGCAGAUCAAGAUGUCUCCGGUACAAAUCUGGGUGCCCCCU
rnacentral:tRNA from 1 species